rnacentral:rRNA from 1 species
AUUGAGCGCUGGCGGCAUGCUUUACACAUGCAAGUCGAACGGUAACAGGGUGCUUGCACCGCUGGCGAGUGGCGAACGGGUGAGUAAUGCGUCGGAACGUGCCGAGUAGUGGGGGAUAACGCAGCGAAAGUUGUGCUAAUACCGCAUACGUACUGAGGUAGAAAGUGGGGGACCUUCGGGCCUCACGCUAUUCGAGCGGCCGACGUCUGAUUAGCUAGUAGGUGAGGUAAAGGCUCACCUAGGCGACGAUCAGUAGCGGGUCUGAGAGGAUGAUCCGCCACACUGGGACUGGGACACGGCCCAGACUCCUACGGGAGGCAGCAGUGGGGAAUUUUGGACAAUGGGCGAAAGCCUGAUCCAGCCAUGCCGCGUGUCUGAAGAAGGCCUUCGGGUUGUAAAGGACUUUUGUCAGGGAGGAAAUCCCUAGUGCUAAUAACACUGGGGGAUGACAGUACCUGAAGAAUAAGCACCAGCUAACUACGUGCCAGCAGCCGCAGUAA